rnacentral:rRNA from 1 species
AUCCAGCCAUGCCGCGUGUCUGAAGAAGGCCUUCGGGUUGUAAAGGACUUUUGUCAGGGAAGAAAAGGGCGGGGUUAAUACCCCUGUCUGAUGACGGUACCUGAAGAAUAAGCACCGGCUAACUACGUGCCAGCAGCCGCGGUAAUACGUAGGGUGCGAGCGUUAAUCGGAAUUACUGGGCGUAAAGCGGGCGCAGACGGUUACUUAAGCAGGAUGUGAAAUCCCCGGGCUCAACCUGGGAACUGCGUUCUGAACUGGGUGACUAGAGUGUGUCAGAGGGAGGUAGAAUUCCACGUGUAGCAGUGAAAUGCGUAGAGAUGUGGAGGAAUACCGAUGGCGAAGGCAGCCUCCUGGGAUAACACUGACGUACAUGCCCGAAAGCGUGGGUAGCAAACAGGAUUAGAUACCCUGGUAGUCCACGCCCUAAACGAUGUCGAUCAGCUGUUGGGCAGCAUGACUGCUUAGUAGCGAAGCUAACGCGUGAAAUCGACCGCCUGGGGAGUACGGUCGCAAGAUCAAAACUCAAAGGAAUUGACGGGGGACCCGCACAAGCGGUGGAUGAUGUGGAUUAAUUCGAUGCAC